UCUGCCUAGUGGUGGGGGAUAACGUUCGGAAACGGACGCUAAUACCGCAUACGGUCCUACGGGAGAAAGCGGGGGAUCUUCGGACCUCGCGCCAUUAGAUGAGCCUAGGUCGGAUUAGCUAGUUCGGUGAGGUAAUGGCUCACCAAGGCGACGAUCCGUAACUGGUCUGAGAGGAUGAUCAGUCACACUGGAACUGAGACACGGUCCAGACUCCUACGGGAGGCAGCAGUGGGGAAUAUUGGACAAUGGGCGAAAGCCUGAUCCAGCCAUGCCGCGUGUGUGAAGAAGGUCUUCGGAUUGUAAAGCACUUUAAGUUGGGAGGAAGGGUAGUAACCUAAUACGUUGCUACUUUGACGUUACCGACAGAAUAAGCACCGGCUAACUUCGUG
rnacentral:rRNA from 1 species